AUUGAACGCUGGCGGCAGGCCUAACACAUGCAAGUCGAACGAGUGGCGGACGGGUGAGUAAUGUCUGGGAAACUGCCUGAUGGAGGGGGAUAACUACUGGAAACGGUAGCUAAUCCCGCAUACCAUCGGAUGUUCCCAGAUGGGAUGAGCUAGUAGGUGGGGUAAAGGCUCACCUAGGCGACGAUCCCUAGCUGGUCUGAGAGGAUGACCAGCCACACUGGAACUGAGACACGGUCCAGACUCCUACGGGAGGCAGCAGUGGGGAAUAUUGCGCAAUGGGCGCAAGCCUGAUGCAGCAAUGCCGCGUGUAUGAAGAAGGCCUUCGGGUUGUAAAGCACUUUCAGCAGGGAGGCGGUACCCGAAGAAAAAGCACCGGCUAACUCCGUGCCAGCAGCCGCGGUAAUUC
rnacentral:rRNA from 1 species